UAGGGAAUAUUAGAAAUGGACGAAAGUCUGAUCUAGCAACACCGCGUGUGCGAAGAAGGCCUUCGGGUCGUAAAGCACUUUUUGGAGGGAAUAGGAAGGAAUGUACUUCCAGAAUAAGUCUCGGCUAACUACGUGCCAGCAGCCGCGGUAACACGUAGGAGGCGAACGUUAUCCGGAUUUACUGGGCGUGAAGCGCGUGUAGGUGGUACUGUAAGUAGGGCGUGAAAGCUCCUGGCUCAACUGGGAGAGGCCGUUCUAAACUACAGAACUAGAGGAUGGUAGAGGGAGGUGGAAUUCCAGGUGUAGCGGUGGAAUGCGCAGAUAUCUGGAGGAACACCGGUGGCGAAGGCGGCCUCCUGGACCAUUCCUGACACUCAGACGCGAAAGCUAGGGUAGCAAACGG
rnacentral:rRNA from 1 species